rnacentral:rRNA from 1 species
AGAGUUUGAUCCUGGCUCAGGACGAACGCUGGCGGCGUGCUUACCACAUGCAAGUCGAACGGAAAGGCCCCUUCGGGGUGCUCGAGUGGCGAACGGGUGAGUAACACGUGAGUGAUCUGCCUGCACUUGGGAUAAGCCUGGGAAACUGGGUCUAAUACCGAAUAGGACUCCGGGAUGCAUGUUUCGGGGUGGAAAGCUUUGCGGUGUGGGAUGGGCCCGCGGCCUAUCAGCUUGUUGGUGGGGUGAUGGCCUACCAAGGCUUCGACGGGUAGCCGGCCUGAGAGGGUGUCCGGCCACACUGGGACUGAGAUACGGCCCAGACUCCUACGGGAGGCAGCAGUGGGGAAUAUUGCACAAUGGGCGCAAGCCUGAUGCAGCGACGCCGCGUGGGGGAUGACGGCCUUCGGGUUGUAAACCUCUUUCAAUAGGGACGAAGCGCAAGUGACGGUACCUAUAGAAGAAGCACCGGCCAACUACGUGCCAGCAGCCGCGGUAAUACGUAGGGUGCGAGCGUUGUCCGGAAUUACUGGGCGUAAAGGGCUUGUAGGUGGUUUGUCGCGUUGUUCGUGAAAUGCCACAGCUUAACUGUGGGCGUGCGGGCGAUACGGGCAGACUGGAGUACUGCAGGGGAGACUGGAAUUCCUGGUGUAGCGGUGGAAUGCGCAGAUAUCAGGAGGAACACCGGUGGCGAAGGCGGGUCUCUGGGCAGUAACUGACGCUGAGGAGCGAAAGCGUGGGGAGCGAACAGGAUAGAUACCCUGGUAGUCCACACCGUAAACGUUGGGCGCUAGGUGUGGGACUCAUUCCACGAGUUCCGUGCCGCAGCUAACGCAUUAAGCGCCCCGCCUGGGGAGUACGGCCGCAAGGCUAAAACUCAAAGGAAUUGACGG